GACGAACGCUGGCGGCGUGCUUAACACAUGCAAGUCGAACGGAAAGGCCCUGCUUUUGUGGGGUGCUCGAGUGGCGAACGGGUGAGUAACACGUGAGUAACCUGCCCUUGACUUUGGGAUAACUUCAGAAAACUGGGGCUAAUACCGGAUAGGAGCUCCUGCUGCAUGGUGGGGGUUGGAAAGUUUCGGCGGUUGGGGAUGGACUCGCGGCUUAUCAGCUUGUUGGUGGGGUAGUGGCUUACCAAGGCUUUGACGGGUAGCCGGCCUGAGAGGGUGACCGGCCACAUUGGGACUGAGAUACGGCCCAGACUCCUACGGGAGGCAGCAGUGGGGAAUAUUGCACAAUGUGCGGAAGCCUGAUGCAGCAACGCCGCGUGCGGGAUGACGGCCUUCGGGUUGUAAACCGCUUUCGCCUGUGACGAAGCGUGAGUGACGGUAAUGGGUAAAGAAGCACCGGCUAACUACGU
rnacentral:rRNA from 1 species